GGCGUUUUUCAUGGCGUUUACCUCCUCGUGGGAUUUGAAAACAGCAAUUUCAAAAUCGCAGACAUUGAGCGGAUCGCACGAAAAUGUGUAGACAGAACACAUGCGUGCAAUUUAUUUAUUCAGCUUCAGUAACCACCUUAUCCUAGUUGGAGUCACACUGGAACUGGAGCCUAUACCAGGCCACACUAGAUACCUACAGAUCAGCAUCUCCUGACUGGAAAUGGCCUCCAAGACCCUAACCAGUCUGGCUUCAGAGCGGCAUACGCCAUAGAAUUUACCCUUAUGGUUGUUACGAAGAAGCUUCAUGUCCUCUUCUCCUUGACCUUUCAUCGUCCAAUCACAAGUCUGGGAUUUCCUUGUCUUGAAAUUAGUGGGACAGCAUGGUGAUGGUUCGCUUCUUAUUUGGCAGGACUGUCAUAUCAGGUGGAGAUCCAUGUCUGCUCCAGGCAGACUAUCCAGUGGUGUCCCACAAGGCACAGUACUUGGUCUCAGUGAGGUAAUAUCCUCUCACUGUUUUUCGUACUAAUGCUUCCUUUCCUCCCUUAGAAACUCGCAGAUCUCAGCAUGUUGGGCAGACAUCUUCCCAAGGAUGGGAGCUCAUCACUUGACACUUAAUCCCAGCAAGACUGUGUUGCUGUACAGUCCCUCCAGGAUUUCACGAUUUUGUGACUGCAGGAAUGAAUGCGAAAUGAAGUAAACGUCGCAGGUUUUCUAAUGUACCACAGAUUUUGUGGGUUUUGUGGGCUCACCCUAACCCUUAGAUUUUUGGCUGCAACAAUCACAAAAAACUCUGUGAAAUCCUGCACAGACUGGCUGUACAGUGGUGCUUGAAAGUUUGUGAACCCUUUAGAAUUUUCUAUAUAUCUGCAUAAAUGUGACCUAAAACAUCAUCACAUUUCCACACAAGUCCUAAAAGUAGACAACGAGAACCUAAUUAAACAAGUGAGACA
ensembl:lncRNA